rnacentral:misc_RNA from 1 species
AACGCACAUUGCGCCCGCCAGCAUUCUGUCGGGCAUGCCUGUUCGAGCGUCGUUUCAACCCUCAGGCCCGGCCUGGUGUUGGGGCUGCUGGAAGGAAAUUCCGGUGCCCUGAAAUGCAGUGGCGGGCCCAGUCGCAACCCGAGCGCAGUAAUUCUCUCGCUUAGGGGCGCGGCCGGUGCCUUGCCUCACGAAAUUAUUUUUUUUCUGGUUGACCUCGGAUCAGGUAGGAAUACCCGCUGAACUUAA